GACGAACGCUGGCGGCGUGCUUAACACAUGCAAGUCGAACGGAAAGGCCCUGCUUUUGUGGGGUGCUCGAGUGGCGAACGGGUGAGUAACACGUGAGUAACCUGCCCUUGACUUUGGGAUAACUUCAGGAAACUGGGGCUAAUACCGGAUAGGAGCUCCUGCUGCAUGGUGGGGGUUGGAAAGUUUCGGCGGUUGGGGAUGGACUCGCGGCUUAUCAGCUUGUUGGUGGGGUAGUGGCUUACCAAGGCUUUGACGGGUAGCCGGCCUGAGAGGGUGACCGGCCACAUUGGGACUGAGAUACGGCCCAGACUCCUACGGGAGGCAGCAGUGGGGAAUAUUGCACAAUGGGCGGAAGCCUGAUGCAGCAACGCCGCGUGCGGGAUGACGGCCUUCGGGUUGUAAACCGCUUUCGCCUGUGACGAAGCGUGAGUGACGGUAAUGGGUAAAGAAGCACCGGCUAACUACGUGCAGCAGCCGCGGUGAUACGUAGGGUGCGAGCGUUGUCCGGAUUUAUUGGGCGUAAAGGGCUCGUAGGUGGUUGAUCGCGUCGGAAGUGUAAUCUUGGGGCUUAACCCUGAGCGUGCUUUCGAUACGGGUUGACUUGAGGAAGGUAGGGGAGAAUGGAAUUCCUGGUGGAGCGGUGGAAUGCGCAGAUAUCAGGAGGAACACCAGUGGCGAAGGCGGUUCUCUGGGCCUUUCCUGACGCUGAGGAGCGAAAGCGUGGGGAGCGAACAGGCUUAGAUACCCUGGUAGUCCACGCUGUAAACGGUGGGUACUAGGUGUGGGGUCCAUUCCACGGGUUCCGUGCCGUAGCUAACGCUUUAAGUACCCCGCCUGGGGAGUACGGCCGCAAGGCUAAAACUCAAAGGAAUUGACGGGGCCCCGCACAAGCGGCGGAGCAUGCGGAUUAAUUCGAUGCAACGCGUAGAACCUUACCUGGGUUUGACAUGGAUCGGGAGUGCUCAGAGAUGGGUGUGCCUCUUUUGGGGUCGGUUCACAGGUGGUGCAUGGCUGUCGUCAGCUCGUGUCGUGAGAUGUUGGGUUAAGUCCCGCAACGAGCGCAACCCUUGUUCACUGUUGCCAGCACGUUAUGGUGGGGACUCAGUGGAGACCGCCGGGGUCAACUCGGAGGAAGGUGGGGAUGACGUCAAGUCAUCAUGCCCCUUAUGUCCAGGGCUUCACGCAUGCUACAAUGGCUGGUACAGAGAGUGGCGAGCCUGUGAGGGUGAGCGAAUCUCGGAAAGCCGGUCUCAGUUCGGAUUGGGGUCUGCAACUCGACCUCAUGAAGUCGGAGUCGCUAGUAAUCGCAGAUCAGCAACGCUGCGGUGAAUACGUUCCCGGG
rnacentral:rRNA from 1 species